rnacentral:rRNA from 1 species
GUAGGGAAUAUUGCACAAUGGGGGAAACCCUGAUGCAGCGACGCCGCGUGAAGGAUGAAGUAUUUCGGUAUGUAAACUUCUAUCAGCAAGGAAGAAAAUGACGGUACUUGACUAAGAAGCCCCGGCUAAAUACGUGCCAGCAGCCGCGGUAAUACGUAUGGGGCAAGCGUUAUCCGGAUUUACUGGGUGUAAAGGGAGCGUAGGCGGUAUGGCAAGUCAGAAGUGAAAGCCUGGGGCUCAACCCCGGAAUUGCUUUUGAAACUGUCAAACUAGAGUGUCGGAGGGGUAAGCGGAAUUCCUAGUGUAGCGGUGAAAUGCGUAGAUAUUAGGAGGAACACCGGUGGCGAAGGCGGCUUACUGGACGACCACUGACGCUGAGGCUCGAAAGCGUGGGGAGCAAACAGGAUUAGAAACCCGGGUAGUCC